CGUGGCCGACCUGCUGCGGGGAGAUGAAGUGGGUGUGGGUGUCGACGCCGCCGGGGGUGGCCACCAGUCCUUCGCCCGACAUCACCUGGGUGCCCGCGCCGACGACCAUGUUCGGAUCGACACCGGCCUGUACGAACGGGUUGCCGGCCUGCCCGAUGCCGGCGAUGCGGCCGUCUUUGAUGCCCAGGUCGGCCUUGACGAUCCCGAUCACCGGGUCCAUCACGAUCACCGAGGUGAUCACCAUGUCCAGCGCCCCGUCGACGUUGCGGACCCCGGCCACCUGACCCAUGCCGUCACG
rnacentral:sRNA from 1 species